AAUCGUCUUUUUUUACCUCUCAUAAAACUGAUUUUUCUGAGAUCCCUUCUUCUGCGUACUCAACUCUUCUUUGGUUCUUUACAUCAUCUUGAACAAGUGAUUGCAACAUCUGCAUCUUUUUGUUGAUUCGGAUUCAGUAGUACUUGAAGGAUUUGUAGUCCAGCAAAAGUUUAAAUUUGAUGCAGUUGCCACUACCAAGACUACCUCAAUCAUCUCCAGUCUCCACCAACAAAACAGAUGAUAUACAGAUGAUCGUUGGAAAAGAAUCAUUGGUCUCUACAGAGGUUAUUGGUUUAUUGACCUGCCCUGUGAAUGCCCAGUCAAUGACCAAACCUAAUGGCCAGGAGUGCAUGCUGCAUGAAAAGAUAAUCCAGAACCUCUGCUCAUACUCUGGUAGAGCUACAACGAAGGUGGACGAUUUUUCUUCUUCCCAAAUUAUCAUAGAUCCUUUGUGCUUUAAUUUAGAAGCUUGACAAAUGUGGAAGUUACAAAGAGGCCUAAUUGGAAGGAGUGCCGGAAUUGAGAACUGACAAUCGUGGGCUUGAGGUCUAUGUUUGUGGUGAAUAUAAUUUGCGUGCUUUGUUAGUUUAAGGUUUUGGAUUUCAAGUUCAUGUCUUUUCAGAUUGUAAAUUUGUGAUUCAGAAGUGCUAAUUGGCUAUCUUCUAAUUUGAUACUGUAUUUCUUUAGCUAAGUGUUCAGUACAAUGAACACCAUUUUCUCUCAUUUCAGAGCUUGCAUAUAUGUGCUUAUGAAUUUGGGACCUUCAAAGCCUCAUAACUCCUGGAAAUGUGUAGAUGUUGCUGAGUGUUAUGGUGUCGGUAAUUGGCCAAUCGGAUUUAGGGCGUCACUAUGUCUGCUCUUUGGUGAUAACAAAUCCCUUCAUAAUCAAGGGUGUAAAUUUUUGAUUUUCUUCGGAUCCGCGGGAGUAAUUCGGGGCCGUUGAUUCUGUUUUUGCUCGAGGUAAUUCUUUUUUAUGAGUUCGUUUAUAAAUUUCUUUCUCUGAGAAUUCAAGACCCAGAAUUCCGGUUUUUUGUUUAGCAAAUAUUAGGGUUUAUAACUCCUUUAUCUCAGACAUUAACAAUUCCCAUGUUUGAAUGAUCGUUGCGCUGAAACCAAUUCAAAGAGACGUCCUAGGUUUAGGCAGAGCAAAUAUUAGAUGAGCUUUUCGGUUAUAAAUUUCGCUCGAUUUCUUUCUCGUGUUCUUCGUUCUCGAUUUUCUUCAUGAUUUUGUGUUGAUUGCUUUGUAUUCUUAAUUUUUUGGUUGAUGCCCGUCUCUCUCGAAACUAUGGCACUCGAGGUUUAUCAUGCAGGUGUUGGUGAUUUUUUAUUUUGUUCAAUGUAUCAAUAACCCAAAUCAACUGUGAUACACCGUUAUUUAUAUUGGUUUUAGGUAACCAAUCAAUGAAGCCAAUUUAUACCCUUGCAUAGCUUUGUCGGAUUUUGAUACACAGUUGAGUUGUUUGUUGGUUUUGUAUAUGGUGGUGACGUUGUAUCUGGAUAGAAGAGUGUUGUAUUGGUCAACUUAUGUGCUUCAUUCAAGGCUGUUUGUCUCUCCUUAAUAUUGGGUGCUCGCAUUCAUUGGUUUACUUGCCCCGACUUUGGCUACGACAAUUCUUAAGAAGAACGAAAGCUCUAGCAAAGAUUAAUUUUAAGAAAAGAAAGGCAACCAUUUUCCUGAGGAAUAAUGUGUUGAAACAAAAUCAUCCUAGAUCAUGAGGUGAUGACCCAUGUCAAUCCAAAUGUCACUUAGCUCAUUGUCGUCGGAUCAGUGAAGUCCAUGCCUGCAAUCUUAUGCUUAUUGUCAGAAGUCAGAACCCGAUGAGAUACAGUCAUGUAUUGCCAUUGAACGCUAGCAUCUCAGAUAAUGCAUGGCUUAGGGCUGCCAGUGAGUUGGAAUUGUAUGGAGCAGUCUAGCGUUGAUAAUUCAAAUCGCACAUGAAAGGUAACGUCUGUAUGACUACGAAAGAGGUGAUAGAAGAAUGCAAGUUUUUCUGUUUCGCUGGCCAAGAUACAACCUCAGAUUGUGUUACAUGGAACAUUAUAGUCUUGAGCAUGCAUCAAGAUUGGCAAGAAAAGGCCAGAGAAGAGGUCAUAAGAAUCUGUGGGAAAAACCCACUUCAGUUUGAAAGUCUUGCCGAUCUAAAGACUGUAACCAUGAUCCUAUAUGAAGUUCACAGGUUACAUCCACCUGUGAUCCAACAACAUGGGUGUACAUACAAAAAAAGUGCAGAUUAGAGAUCUCAACCUUCCUGCUGGGGUCGAGAUUAUACUACCAACACUUACUAUUCAUCAUCAUCCUGAACUAUGGGGUGAAGAUGUACAAGACUUCAUACCAGAGAUUCUGUAAGGGGAAUAUCCAAAGCGGCUAGAAUGCCAUCUUAGCUUCAGCAAUGGCGAAGUUUUGCCCUAUACAGAUCCUUGGUCCCCAUCCAAACGGAAAGAACGCUACUGGGCACCACCUCUAUCUAUUUACUGAUAUGCAUAUAAAGAUUCUGAUCAGGAGCAUUAUGAGGAUCAGACUUCAUCGUCGUUUCACCAUCCCUGUAAAUAUUCAGAUCUUCCUCUUUUUUGUAACUUCAGGUAACAAACUUUCUGCAAGUUGCGGGUCUUUAAUAUUAUUAGGUAUUGUUCAUUGAUUUAGAUCUCACAAAUUGUUAAAUAGCUGGUUCAUAAGCUACUAGAGUUGAUGAUAAUUUGUUGGUUUACUUGGUAUCUGUAUUGAAUCCCACAUAAAGUGAGGUGUGAUUUGGCCGUGGAAAGUAAUUUUGGUGAAUUGAAUGAGGAACUUCAUAUAGUCUUCGUGAUUUUGAAUUUCUGAGG